AUACGUAGGGGGCAAGCGUUAUCCGGAUUUACUGGGUGUAAAGGGAGCGUAGACGGUUUGGCAAGUCUGAUGUGAAAGCCCGGGGCUCAACCGCGGGACUGCAUUGGAAACUGUCAGACUUGAGUGCAGGAGAGGGAAGUGGAAUUCCCAGUGUAGCGGUGAAAUGCGUAGAGAUUGGGAGGAACACCAGUGGCGAAGGCGACUUACUGGACUGUAACUGACGCUGAGGCGCGAAAGUGUGGGGAGCAAACAGGAUUAGAUACCCUGGUAGUCCACACUGUAAACGAUGAAUGCUAGGUGUAGGGGGUAUCGACCCCUUCUGUGCCGCAGUUAACACAAUAAGUAUUCCGCCUGGGGAGUACGGCCGCAAGGUUGAAACUCAAAGGAAUUGACGGGG
rnacentral:rRNA from 1 species